GCAACAGCUCAAAUUUGAAAUCUGGCGCAAGCCCGAGUUGUAAUUUGCAGAGGAUGUUUCGGGUGAAGCCACGGUCCAAGUCCCUUGGAACAGGACGUCAUAGAGGGUGAGAACCCCGUACCUGGCCGUCGGUGCCCCCCGCUGUGAAACUCCUUCGACGAGUCGAGUUGUUUGGGAAUGCAGCUCUAAAUUGGUGGUAAAUUCCAUCUAAAGCUAAAUACCGGCCAGAGACCGAUAGCGCACAAGUAGAGUGAUCGAAAGAUGAAAAGCACUUUGAAAAGAGAGUUAAAAAGUACGUGAAAUUGUUGAAAGGGAAGCGCUUGCGGCCAGACUUGCCCGCGGUUGCUCAGCCCGCCUUUUGGCGGGUGCACUCUUCCGCGGUCAGGCCAGCAUCGGUUUGGGCGGCCGGAUAAAGGCGCCGGGAACGUGGCCUCCCCUCGGGGAGGUGUUAUAGCCCGGCGUGCAAUGCGGCCAGCCCGGACCGAGGUUCGCGCUCUGCUAGGAUGCUGGCGUAAUGGCCGUAAGCGGCCCGUCUUGAAACACGGACCAAGGAGUCUAACAUCUAUGCGAGUGUUUGGGUGUCAAACCCGUGCGCGUAAUGAAAGUGAACGGAGGUGGGAACCGCAAGGUGCACCAUCGACCGAUCCUGAUGUCUUCGGAAGGAUUUGAGUAAGAGCAUAGCUGUUGGGACCCGAAAGAUGGUGAACUAUGCGUGAAUAGGGUGAAGCCAGAGGAAACUCUGGUGGAGGCUCGCAGCGGUUCUGACGUGCAAAUCGAUC
rnacentral:rRNA from 1 species